CCUACGGGAGUCAGCAGUAGGGAAUUUUGCGCAAUGGGGUAAACCCUGACGCAGCAACGCCGCGUUAUCGAUGAAGCCCUUCGGGGUGUAAAGAUCUGUCAGUGGGGACGAAACCUGACCGUACCCCCAGAGGAAUCACCGGCUAACUCCGUGCCAGCAGCCGCGGUAAUACGGGGGGUGCAAGCGUUGUCCGGAAUCAUUGGGCGUAAAGAGUUCGUAGGUGGGACUUUAAGUCUGGUGGUAACGGCGGAAGCGUAACUUCCGUAGGGCACUGGAUACUGGCGAGCGUGAAGGCGGUAGAGGUAAAGGGAAUUACUGGUGUAGCGGUGAAAUGCGGAGAGAUCAGGAGGAACAGCGGUGGAGUAAGCGCUUUACUGGGCCGUAAUUGACACUGAGGAACGAAAGCCGGGGUAGCAAAUGGGAUUAGAUACCCGUGUAGUC
rnacentral:rRNA from 1 species